UGCCAGCAGCCGCGGUAAUACGGAGGGGGCUAGCGUUGUUCGGAAUUAUUGGGCGUAAAGAGUGCGUAGGCGGCUUGGCAAGUUGGGUGUGAAAUCCCUCGGCUCAACCGAGGAAUGGCGCCCAAAACUGCCAAGCUUGAGGGAGGUAGAGGUAAGCGGAACUAAUGGUGGAGCGGUGAAAUGCGUUGAUAUCAUUAGGAACACCUGAGGCGAAAGCAGCUUACUGGGCCUUUUCUGACGCUGAGGCACGAAAGCUAGGGGAGCGAACGGGAUUAGAUA
rnacentral:rRNA from 1 species